UCUACUUCUUCCUCUUGAUCAGGAAACUGGAGCAGUUCCUCACGACCAUCCAUUGCAGAUGCGCAGACAUGGCGGCGGCUUCUCUCGCAGCGGCCUCAGGGGCAAUUUAAAAGGUCCGCGCUGCGUUUAUGAGCUGUAACACGCACCACCGAGAAGGUCUGCAGCUUCACUGCAGAAGCCAGUGAGACCACAAACCUACCGAAAGUAAGAAACUCUGGACACAUGUGAACAUCUGAGGGAACAAACUCCGGACACACCAUCUUUCAGAACUGUAACACUCACCGCGAGCGUCGGCGGCUUGGUUCUUGAAGUCAGCGAGACCAAGAACCCACCAAUUCCGAACACUCUCCCUCUGAUGAAGUACCUCAAAAGCUAAGCUCCCAUCAAUCCUGGAGAGAUAGAAUCAGCAGAGCAUAGUGGCAGAAUGAAUGGUUUAAAAGGAACAGCAGCGACCAAAGAACUUUUUAUGCAGAGAAACCCCAAAUCUGGGGCAAAGCCCUCCUGUUCAUUUUAUCUCACACAAGGGCAUUGUUGAUCCAGAUGAAUGUAUUCACUUUGAAACGAGACCAUAGUCGCCGCUAGAGACAAAACUACAUACACUGACCCAGAUACGGUUCUUCCCCAGACCAAGUGACCCCAGCUGCAGCCGGAGUGCUCACAGUAAACUGAAAUUACAUGAAUGACACCCAGGGAAAGACGCUUGUAUUAUAAAGAGGCUACAUUUCUAUUUGGUUUACUGAUGUAUUAAUUUUUCAAAGUUUGGAAUCUCUUCAAAUACAAGUGUAUUCACCUCUUUUUGGACUAUGGUUGACUGGAUAAAUGAGACCACAGGAAACAAAACUGCGGAGAAAGGGGACUUCUUUCUGUCUAGACAGAAGCUGAAGGAUUGCCGAAGUUUUGAAGCUAUCACAGCCAAGCCUCAUCUCCAGCCAAGUGGUUAGCAGACUCCCUUGUGGCAGUUUUACCAAUUGGAUUUUUAAUGUUUCAUUCCAUUUUAGCUCAGCUUCUAGGACAGAAUCUGUGAUAUAGAGGUGAAUAAUAUAUUCAAAUGAAUGAGGACGACAGCUCUGUCAACAGUUCAGAGAGUCCCAGAAAGGGCCUACUGUCUUCUCAUGGUUUUACAUUUUCCUGCCUGCCACCCAUCCUGCAGCGUCUUCCCUGACACAGCCUGAGCUUCUUUAGCACUCCCACCCAAAUUUCCUUUUAUUUCUGUGCCUUUGGCAAUUGCUUUUCCUCUACUUGCCUCCAAUAUGAGGCAGAAAUGUUAAUAUGAUCUCUUACUCUCCUCUCCAGUUCUCUUUGUUUCUCAGAACAUUCUAGAGAGCAUCUAGUAAUAGUGACAGCCCAUGUCUCUGUAUUCCUUGCUUUCCUUCAUCUGAUUAAAUAAUACUGAGGAACAGAAUCUUGGUCCCUCUUGAGUUUGUCCAAAUACCAUGUACAGGCCAGCAUGGCAGCUUCCACCCUUUCUUUGAGGCAGUCAGGUUGGAGGGGGUCCCCUGGAGAAACUCCAACCAGCCUGCCAAUGCGGUGGAGCCUCCAGAAGUCGUACCGUUUGCAGCGGGGAGGAGCUUGGCCCUGCCUCUUCCUGUGGAACCUGGGAUUCAAAGGGUGGGCCGGAAGUGCUCUAGCCAGGGGACUCUGGCCUUAUGGAGGAUCCCUGUUUCCUCCUUUUUUUUUUUUAAACCCUUUUCACCUAAUAAAACCCUGCUUUUCUCACCCUUUAAACUGUCUAUGAGCCUAAAUUUUCAUGGCCGUGGGACAGACAAGAACCCCAUCUUUGCUAAACCAAGGAAAAGUCCUGCAACAUUUUUGGCACGCAGAGUGGGGGCUGGAGAGGAGGCCAUCAAAUUCCAAACAGGCAACCAGAGCCUCUGAAGAUGGCCCCUUCUUCUGGGGAUCCUCACAUAGGCCUCGGAGGAAGCUCUGACUGCCGUUUCCCCAAAACAGCGCCCCCGUCUGCAGAAAGUGGUUAAGAUUGGUCUUAGUCCUUAUCCUUAAUCUAACGGGAGUUAGAUAUACUUCUUUAGACGGGGGAAUGAGACAGCCAGGUGGGAGGGGGUCCCUGGAGAAACUCCAACCAGCCUGUCUACUGAGGUGGAGCCUGGGAAGUUUGAGCCCUUUGCAGUAGGGAGGAGCUGGCCUUGCCUCUUCCUGUGUGGAACCUGGGAUUCGGACGUCGGGCGGGAAGUGCUCUAGCAGGGGACUCUGGACUUGCGGAGGACCCCUGUUCCCCCCCUCAUUUUUCCCUGUUUCACCCAAUAAAACCCUGCUUUACUCACCCUUUAAACCAUCUGCGAACCUAAAUUUUUGUUGUCGCGGGAUGGACAAGAACGCUGUCUUUAGCUAAACUAAGGAAAAGACCUGUAACACCUUA
rnacentral:lncRNA from 10 species